CUUUUACAAUGAAGAGUUUGAUCCUGGCUCAGGAUGAACGCUAGCUACAGGCUUAACACAUGC
rnacentral:rRNA from 2 species